GACGAACGCUGGCGGCGUGCUUAACACAUGCAAGUCGAGCGGUAAGGCCCUUUCGGGGGUACACGAGCGGCGAACGGGUGAGUAACACGUGGGUGACCUGCCCUCAGCUCUGGGAUAAGCCUGGGAAACCGGGUCUAAUACUGGAUAUGACUCCAUGACGCAUGUUGUGGGGUGGAAAGCCUUGUGCGGCUGAGGGAUGGGCCCGCGGCCUAUCAGCUUGUUGGU
rnacentral:rRNA from 1 species